rnacentral:rRNA from 1 species
UACAGAGGGGGCAAGCGUUGUUCGGAAUUACUGGGCUUAAAGCGCACGUAGGCGGUGCUGUAAGUGUCAGGUGAAAUCCCACGGCUCACCCGUGGAACUGCCUGGCAGACUGCGGUACUAGAGUGUGGUAGGGGAGAGCGGAACUCCUGGUGGAGCGGUGAAAUGCGUAGAUAUCAGGAGGAACACCAGCGGCGAAGGCGGGUAGCUGGGCCAACACUGACGCUGAUGUGCGAAAGCUAGGGGAGCAAACGGG